UAUUUUGGGCCCGCAGUAUCAUUGGUCCGUACUUUUUUGAAAAUGAUGUUGGUGAGGCCAUCACUGUCAAUGGUGAGUGAUACAGAACAAUGAUAACCGAUUUUUUUUUUUCCCAAAAUGAAUGGUAUGGACGUAGACGACAUGUGGUUUCAGCAGGAUGGCGCUGAAUACAUCCAACACCACGAUAGCCAUUCUGAAUAGCAAAUUUGAGGGUAUGGUUAUCUCUCGCCGAGGAGAUGUGAAUUGGCCACCAAGAUCAUGUAAUUUGACCCCAUUAGACUUUUUCUUGUGGGGUUUCCUGAAGUCGCAGGUCUAUGCCGAUAAGCCGAAAUCGACAGAUGACCUUAAAGUGAACAUAACCCAGGCCAUCACUCAAAUUCAACCGGAUCUAUGCGGCAAAGUCAUUGAAAAUUGGACCACUCGGAUUCGUGCCACUGUGAGAAGCCGUGGCGGACAUUUAAACGAUAUUAUAUUCAAAACAUAAUUGGCAUACUUAGAACUUUAAAAUAAAAAANACAGAUGACUUUAAAGUGAACAUAACCCAGGCCAUCGCUCAAAUUCAACUGGAUCUAUGCAGCAUAGUCAUUGAAAGUUAGACCACUCGGAUUCGUGCCAUUGUGAGAAGCCGUGGUGGACAUUUAAACGAUAUUAUAUUCAAAACAUAAUUGGCAUACUUAGAACUUUAAAAUAAAAAAAAAAUUUCACUAAUACCUCGCACAUAGCUUGUUUUAUUUCAUUUCAACAUAAACCCGCUCUUAUUGAAAAACCCUUUAUAAUAAAAAAAAUACUAUUAAACCUCAAUUUUUUUAUUUUUACCAUAUAGUUAU